CUGAAAUGGAAAGUUCAGUUGCAUCAACGCUUAAGCCUACAAUGAAGAAUUACUCAAAGAGAAGAACAAUAAAAAACUCACAGAAAGUGUUCAAUAACCUAAAAACAAUAAUCUUAUGUAAAACAAAAAUUUUACAUAAGAACUCAUAACAAAAACUUAAGGGUGUUAGAAGUCAGAGCAUGACGUUAAUAAUAUGAUACAGAGUUGAACGUGAUAGAUCUGGUCAGUAUCAAACUCACUGAAGAAUGGUCAGAAAUUACCUUCACACAAACAGCAACAGAAAGAAAGAUACACGGCUGACAGUUAUUAGAGCUCUGAGCAUACA
rnacentral:lncRNA from 1 species